rnacentral:rRNA from 1 species
GUGUACUGGAAGGUGCACUUGGAUGAU